rnacentral:rRNA from 1 species
GAUGAACGCUAGCUACAGGCUUAACAUAUGCAAGUCGAGGGGAAACGACAUCGAAAGCUUGCUUUUGAUGGGCGUCGACCGGCGCACGGGUGAGUAACGCGUAUCCAACCUGCCCAUCACUUGGGGAUAACCUUGCGAAAGUAAGACUAAUACCCAAUGACGUCUCUAGAAGACAUCUGAAAGAGAUUAAAGAUUUAUCGGUGAUGGAUGGGGAUGCGUCUGAUUAGCUUGUUGGCGGGGUAACGGCCCACCAAGGCGACGAUCAGUAGGGGUUCUGAGAGGAAGGUCCCCCACAUUGGAACUGAGACACGGUCCAAAACUCCUACGGGAGGCAGCAGUGAGGAAUAUUGGUCAAUGGACGGAAGUCUGAACCAGCCAAGUAGCGUGCAGGAUGACGGCCCUAUGGGUUGUAAACUGCUUUUAUAAGGGAAUAAAGUGAGAGUCGUGACUCUUUUUGCAUGUACCUUAUGAAUAAGGACCGGCUAAUUCCGUG